CUAUUUGUGCCUUGAAACCCCAAACCUCAUCCAUCUAUUUUGAUUUUCCAAACUUUAAUAUUUUGUUUCCAUCAAAUUACAAACACCAAAUCCCUCCCAAAUUAAAAGAGAAAUACUAAAAACACUCUCUCAAACUUGUAGGUUUUUCGGAGUUUCAAGUCAAACCUUUUUUUCUCUCAUCGAAGGUAAUGAUUUGUUUUCCUAUUACUUUUUGAUGAUAUCUAGCCUUUUAAAUUGAGUUUUUUCUUAAUUGAAUCUAAAGUUUUGAACAAAUGCCAAAAAGUGGGUCAUUAAUGGUGAAAUUCAAGAUUUUGAUUGAAAACUAUGUGUCAAAGUGUUUUUCAACUUGUUUUGAUGUGAUUAGAAGUUUCAUUGAAGAAUUCUAAGGUUUUAUUGAGUUUUUGUGAAAAUUGUCAUUGUACGUCGAAAUUUCGGAACCAUGAAUUGGUCUUAGAUGUAUAAUUAGGUGAUUGAAAUCAGUUUUAUGCAAAGGGAAUGAGUAGAUGUUGAGAUUUUUGCUUUUCAGCUAAGUUAGUCGAAAUUUCAGUUUCAUGAGAAUCUAAUUUAGACUUGUGUUUUUGGUUGAUUUAGGUGAGUCUAUGGCUGAAUUUUAAUUGUGUUUAUUGUGUUAUUUACUUAAUUUGGUUAAGCUCCAGAGUCGUUAGGACCUUCUUCGAGUAAAGCGAAACGCAAGAAAAAACUAGUUGAUGCUUCUGAUGACAGGGAGAAAGCGCGAAAGGUGAGUGUUUUGAAUCGCUGCUUGUAAACACGAUUCAUAGUGUUAUUUGGGAUCUUAAGAGUAGCCUAAACCCCUAGUCUAAGUUCCAAGUGUAAGCUUUCUUAUACCCCUUGUCUAAUUUGCAAAAAUUUGACUAUGUGUUGUGGAUUGAAAAUUAAGAUGUGAUAAUGGGACAUGUGAAAUAUGCUUGUAAUUGCAAUUGUGAAUGUGUUAAUUGUGGCUAUGUUAUACAUGCUGAAUGACAGUGACGAUGUUGUGCUUAUAAUGUGAAUAUGCAGUGAAAGUGUGCAGAAAAAGAUACUUAAAAAUGUGUGUUUAAUUGCAGAUAUUUUAACCUUAUAAUCUUUGAGACCGUUUGAUAUAGUCGGCAUGCCAUAGGAUUUGUGAGUACUCACCCUUGUGUUGUGUUUUUAGGGCAUUAAAGCCCGAAACAAUUUUGGAGAGAUAAGGAAAUGUGAGCUCAGCUCCAUUCACCGGGAUAUGUGUGUGUGUGUGUUAGAGAGUGUU
rnacentral:lncRNA from 1 species